CAUAAAAGUGAGAAAGAUCAAGCUGGACUUGAGCCACUGGCCCUCAGGCUCAGCAGGGAGCUGCAGGAGAAGGAGAAAGUGAUUGAAGUCCUGCAGGCCAAGCUGGAUGCUCGGUCCCUCACACCCUCCAGCAGCCAUGCCUUGUCUGACUCCCACCGCUCUCCCAGCAGCACCUCUUUCCUGUCUGAUGAGCUGGAAGCCUGCUCUGACAUGGACAUAGUCAGCGAGUACACACACUAUGAAGAGAAGAAAGCUUCUCCCAGUCACUCAGAUUCCAUCCAUCAUUCGAGUCCUUCUGCUGUGUUGUCUUCUAAACCAUCAUCAACCAGUGCAUCUCAGGGGGCUAAGGCCGAAUCCAACAGCAACCCCAUCAGCUUGCCAACUCCCCAGAAUACCCCCAAGGAGGCCAACCAGGCCCAUUCAGGUGCCAGCACUGUUCCUCCUGCUUCCACAGCUACAUUGCUGAGCAACGACUUGGAAGCCGACCCUUCCUACUACCUCAACUCUGCCCAGCCUCACUCUCCUCCAAGGGGCACCAUAGAACUGGGAAGAAUCCUAGAGCCUGGGUACCUGGGCAGCAGUGGCAAGUGGGAUGUGAUAAGGCCUCAGAAAGGGAGUGUAUCUGGGGACCUAUCCUCAGGCUCCUCUGUGUACCAACUUAACUCCAAACCCACAGGGGCUGACCUGCUGGAAGAGCAUCUUGGUGAAAUCCGGAACCUGCGCCAGCGCCUGGAGGAGUCCAUCUGCAUCAAUGACCGCCUACGGGAGCAACUGGAACACCGGCUGAGCUCUACUGCUCGUGGAAGGGGAUCCACUUCUAACUUCUACAGUCAGGGUCUGGAGUCCAUACCUCAGCUCUGCAGUGAGAACAGAGUCCUCAGGGAAGAAAAUCGAAGACUUCAGGCUCAACUGAGUCAUGUUUCCAGAGAGCACUCCCAGGAAACAGAAAGCCUGAGGGAGGCUCUGCUGUCCUCUCGAUCCCACCUUCAAGAGCUGGAAAAGGAGCUGGAGCACCAGAAGGUGGAAAGGCAGCAGCUUUUGGAAGACUUGAGGGAGAAGCAGCAAGAGGUCUUGCAUUUCAGGGAGGAACGUCUUUCCCUCCAGGAAAACGACUCCAGGUAAGAGGGGAACCAUUGACAGAGAAGGUAGCAUUCUUCAUUCUUACAUUCAUUCUUACAUUACAAGAGGAAGGGAUAUUGGCAAGACAAUUGAUGUCCUCUUUUGGAAACCUAAAUGUUCCCUCUGCUAUUCCUGAUUUUUGUGUGUCAGUGGGGUGGGGGGAGGGGCGCUUUGAGCAGAAGAAAGGACUUCUCUGGGAAUGCCUUGUCACUCCCAAGUUGAGAGAGUAAAACUCUGUUAUAGAAGUCUUCAGUAUAUCAGAGACAUGAAAAAGAAGGGUUCCCAUGCUUCCAAUUAGAUAUAGGACAUUAGUCUCACCAUCACCUAGGAAGCUUCUAUACUGGCUGUGAUGCUUGGUCCCAGCAUAAGCCCUGUAACUGCUUGUCAGGAUGCAAAGAGCACUGUAGGAGCAGUAAGGAGACUGUGCUGGUGUGUCUGUUCUGCUCUGAACUAAUGUAGGUAAUGGUGUGUUUUCAAGCAAAGUUACUUGACCUCCCUCAGCCUCCAUUUCCAUAUCUGUGAAAUAAAAGUGAUAGUCUUCAUGACCCCCUGAGUUGACAUCUGGGGCUCAGAUGUAACCCUAACCGUAACCCUUUUUGACCCUCUGAGUUGACAUCUGGCUCUCAGCUUGUUGCUCUGGUGUGGCUGAGUGGCUCUGCCAUCUCAGUGGGCCUUGCCUCUCCCUGGUCAGACUGCAGCACAAGCUGGUUCUCCUGCAGCAACAGUGUGAAGAGAAACAGCAGCUCUUUGAGUCCCUCCAGUCAGAGCUACAAAUCUACGAGGCACUUUAUGGCAAUUCCAAGAAGGGGCUGAAAGGUAUGUGUUCUUCUCCCCUCACCCCAUGAGCUUUUUGCCCUUGCAUAGGAUGCUAGUGAGGUCUUUCCUUUGGGAGUUGUGGAGAUCAUGGGAAGCUACAGAGUUCUGUUGCAGAAACCCCCACCCGAGCCUGGGGCUCCCAGUAGGAGCUCUCAAACACAAAGCCCAGUGGGACAGGUUGGUGGCACGAGCAAGAUCUGGCCUGAUCAUUCCUAAUUACUUUAAGAAAAUCUAGACAUUCCUAUCAAUGUCUAGAUUGUAACAUUUUUGAAAGCAAAAGAACUGUCCUAAUGAUAUCAUCAUUUGAAAAGGCCUUUAAUAUUGUUGGUAAUACAUACUGACAACCCAUUCAGCCCAAUGCAACAGGCAGUCUGCUCCCACCCUGACCCUUUCCCUAGUGACAUCUGGCUCUCAGCUUAUUGCCCUUUCAUGUAAUUUUCAUAAAUCCUGAUUUAGUUUCCUGAUUUUCUAAAGAGAAGGUGAACUGGAAUUUGAAGAAAUACAGGGGCUUACCAGGCUGGGCGAAUAGCUUAAGUACAAAGUCAUGGUGAGUGUUGAGUCAGUGGGGACCAGCCUGCCCACAGGAGAAAAUUAAGACACAAAAACAAAAA
rnacentral:sRNA from 1 species